rnacentral:rRNA from 1 species
UACAGAGGGUGCAAGCGUUAAUCGGAAUUACUGGGCGUAAAGCGAGCGUAGUCGGUUAUUUAAGUCGGAUGUGAAAUCCCCGGGCUCAACCUGGGAAUUGCAUUCGAUACUGGAUAGCUAGAGUUCGGCAGAGGGAAGCGGAAUUCCGGGUGUAGCGGUGAAAUGCGUAGAUAUCCGGAGGAACACCGGUGGCGAAGGCGGCUUCCUGGACCGACACUGACGCUGAGGCGCGAAAGCUAGGGGAGCAAACGGG